AGCGAACGCUGGCGGCAGGCUUAACACAUGCAAGUCGAACGGGCACUUCGGUGUCAGUGGCAGACGGGUGAGUAACGCGUGGGAACAUACCUCUUGGUUCGGAACAACACAGGGAAACUUGUGCUAAUACCGGAUAAGCCCUUACGGGGAAGAUUUAUCGCCGAGAGAUUGGCCCGCGUCUGAUUAGCUAGUUGGUGUGGUAAAAGCGCACCAAGGCGACGAUCAGUAGCUGGCUGAGAGGAUGAUCAGCCACAUUGGGACUGAGACACGGCCCAAACUCCUACGGGAGGCAGCAGUGGGGAAUAUUGGACAAUGGGCGCAAGCCUGAUCCAGCCAUGCCGCGUGAGUGAUGAAGGCCCUAGGGUUGUAAAGCUCUUUUGUACGGGAAGAUAAUGACGGUACCGUAAGAAUAAGCCCCGGCUAACUUCGUGCCAGCAGCCGCGGU
rnacentral:rRNA from 1 species